AGGGCCCUCCCAGCUCUGACAUUCCAUAUUCAAAGUCCCUCCCAGCUCUUGCAUUCUCUGUUCUAAGGUCCCUUAUACUUCUGAUAUUCUCUAUUCUCAGGUGUUCCUUCCACCUCUUAUAGUCCAAGAUUUUUCCACAUGAGUGCUAUAUAUUAUACUGCCAGUCAGCCAGAACAGAAUAUUCACUAGAAGACACCCAGCACAUGCUCCUCCAGCCUCAGCCUCAAGACCUCCAAGGAAGGGGAACUCGCCUCUCAAGGCAACCCGGUGACCUUUGCAACAGCUCUUAUCCUCAGGAAGUUUGUCUUCAUCUCAAGCCAAAACUGGUCACUUUUCAGUCCCUUCUUCCCUUUGCCCCACCCCACCGCCAGCCCCUCUGCUCCCAGGUCUGCCCUCUGAGGCCAA